ACUCAUAUAGCUUAAUAUAAAGCAAAGUAUUGAAGAUACUUGGAUAAGUUUAUCUUUUUGAGUA
rnacentral:tRNA from 1 species